UGAUGCAACAGUGCUUUUAUUGGGGGGUUCAGGGGACAUAUGACAAAGUCUCAUAAAAUGUCAACAAAGUCACAUUUUGUGCUUGGCUUGACUUAAAAAACUCUAUGAACUCACUUAAUGAGAAUUGUGUGACACAUGGCCAAUGAUCAUUUUGAAAAUAGGAUGACCUGAGCCACCAGCAGGUCCAAGUGCAACAAUGCCAGAUAUCUAACUGGAAAUUUACAACAGUUAAAUAUUCAGGUACUUUCAAACAUCUAGAAGCUUGCCCUUAAGUAAACACAGCUUAACGGACUUCAGACAAAAUUGCAUUUCAAAUUUGAGUUCUCCAGCUGACCCCUCUAUUUGGCAUGACUGAAUGCCAACUGAAGGCGAAGGGGCUGGUAAAGAAUAAGGUUUCCUCAAUUCCAGCUUUUUAUUGCUGAAGUAUUCUUGAGUUAGUCACCUGGAUAAGUGAAGGUUAAAAUAGCAAAGAACCACUGAUACCGUCAAAAACAUAAGGACUAGCGAAACAGUCGUGUUUAAAUCUUGAUGUGGAAGCUCUAAUAUAUACUGUGCAUAAAAUUGGUUCAGGAAAUGCUCAUGAGAAGAUCUGUUUAGGUGAACUGAGAAUUCCAAAUCAUUGAAGACACUGUACACAUAACUUGGGCCAUUGUAUGUUCUGUGUGGAUGGACCACUGACAAUUCCUGCAUCUAAAGAUGUCAGCCCAGAGCUAUAGCUAUUUUUCACGCUGAGGUGAGAAGCCAGAGAGGUGCAAAACUGAGCAGUCUACUAGGUUCCAUGCCGCCCCUGAUCACCCAGAUGGAAUGUUGUCAUUGAUCAAAUUCAAGCUCACACUUCUUUUAGGCAGGAUGCAGUUGUUUAUUUAAGAGCCGCUGAGGGCAUGGUUUCUGGACCUUGCUUUGCUACACGCAAAUGUGGGAUCUUCUGUAAGUCACUCUAACUUCAUGGAUUGACAACACCUGUAGAAAAGGACAUUGUAUAGAUGACCUUUAGGCUCCCCUCACUUUCUAUUUUCAUUCUCAAGAAGUGGAGAGUUCAUGCUCACCAAAAUGAAUAGUCCCAUCAAAGGCUGGACACCCACCAAAGCAGCCUAAAAUGCUGAUAAACCCCAUUUCCCCUCCAAUUUCUGUCAUGAUAAAAAUAUGUUCCAUCACUUUAGUGUAAUUUAACCAGAAAACUGAAAAAUUUGAGAAGAUAAUUGUUACCAUUUACCACAGAAAAAUCUCAAGGACUAGAGAAGUGGUCAUAUUGUGAUGUUGGUCGUAGUAUUUUGACUUAGUGCUUUAGAUCAUGAGCUUUGCGAUGGCAAAUCUGAUUGAUUGUUGUGAGGCUUCAGAGAGUUAAUGUAUAAAAUACUCAAAAUGUAGUGAGAACUCAAUAAACAUCCAUUGUUAUCAGGCCAAGAGAAAAAUCACAAAUCCUCCUGUUAUCGCCACUCUCACGUGCUUUAAUGGAAGAAAUACAAUUAUGAUUCUAGGCGACACCUGAAGCGGGAGAGGGACAAUGUGUCCAUGAAGUCUUUACCACGUAUGUACAUACACACACACUGGCACUGAAAGUCUGGGGUGAAGGCAACUAGACAUGUGUGAUCAUAAUUCCCUAAAAUUACAUGUAGUCUUCCCGGACUUUGCUCACAACACCACAUCCAUCUAAAGGACUCGAUUUUCUCCUUCUUUUCCAUUUAUCGAAAUCUUUAACAUCUUUUAAGAUUCAUUUCCUCCUCCUUUGCGAACUUUCUUCCCUAAACGGACCAGUUUGCCCAGUUUAACGUGACCACCUCUGAGCUCCUUGUUCAUACAUCUUUUGUCUUGCUUUGGUUUUACUGUUAUUGUCUAUUGACUUGAUUUGUUACUUAUCUUGUCAAAAGCGUACAUACCUCUGCCUAACUAAACUUAAACUCUGCAGAGGCAGAACCUAGCUUGCCUGACAGAAAGCAUGGUUGAUUGGUGGUGUCACAGGGUAGUGCCUUUCCACGCUGCAUUCUGAGUUACCACCGUUAUUCUAUCCUUUGAGUUACCUCCGACGACUCCGCUGUUUCAAAAUAACUUUAUAUCCUAUUGUUUAAGUCACUCUUAAGGUCAAACCUUGUAUGUGGCUAAAAUUCAUAGCAUGAAUUUUGUUCCUUAAAACAUUAGCAUGUGUGUGAAAUUUUCUAUUUUAAAAAUUGGGUGUGUUGAUAAGCAUAUUCAUAUCAGAAAACACUUUUUUAAAGAUGAAUGUCACACAGAAUUGAAAUACAAACAGAGGAAUACACACGAGGAAGGGAAGUCAGAAAUCUAGAAGUCAUUCUCAAGUGUUCCUGUUUCUUGCAAAGAUUGCCUCUUGUUCUGAGAGUCUACUGGCUGAACUGCAUCAUGUGGGUGUGUCGCUUAGCAGAAGAGGUGUCUUCAGGUGACCGAGUCCUGAUUCCUUUGUUUCAACUUCACAGUUGGCUUGAGCGUCCACCAGUACAGCGGUCUCUGCAGUCUGUGUCCUGUCACUGGGGAGACAUUCCUGAGAUGGGGGGACUAUAGGAUUGGCUGAAAGGAACAUCAACACAACUAAAAAAAUAACAGAACAUGUCACAGAAAGUUAUCACAUCGACUCUUGCACACAAAUAAAGAAAUGUAACGAUACUCUGGGGGCCAGGCUGUUUCUAACGAGACGUGAAAUGCUGCAUCACGAGAAAAACGGAGCUUGUCCUCAUUGUUCACCAUGGUCAAGACUCAGUCAAGCAAGAACACUGCUUGAAUGGGUGUGAGGGCACCCCAUUCAUGACUCUGGAGAAGAUGCUCCGUCAGAAAAGCUUCAGGUUUACCCAACAGGCAACUUACUGAAAUAGGACACGUAGGAAAACAACAGAAGAACAGAAGACAUUAAGGACACAGUCAAAUAAAUCUAAAGACUAAACGCAAAAUAAAGGAAGUGUGGCUACAGAAGGGCUUGGCAAUGCAGGAGUGAAUGAAGUCAAGAGAAUGGCUAGAAAUCGAUGUCAGUUCCUUGUUUGUGUCUGUAUUUCCAGUGCCUGGCUCACAGCAUGACAAAGGGUGCCCACUGACAGAAUGAAAGGAGAAACAAAAGGGAGGGAAGGAAGAAAGGAAGAAGAAAGGGAGGGAGGGAGAAAGGAAGGAAUGAGGGAGGGAGGGGAAGAAGAGGAGAGACAGAGAAAGAAUGGAGGAGCAGGGAGCAAGGGAAGGAAAAGAAAGGUUUCUGACAUGUUGAAGAGGUGGAGGGGCAAGUGUGCAGAGAGAAAAGCUUGGCUGUGAGCAUCUUCAAAGAUCUGAAAGCCCGGAAGAGCAGGCUUGCUUCAUUCAAGAAGAGUUAUAUAUUCCAAGUGCUUUGAGAAAAUGGGCGGGGUAAUGUUCAAGAGGUUUUGCACAUGAUAAGAUUUAAUUUGGGAAGUGGGGUAUGUUAACGUAAGGUUGCAGGCUUUUGAAGGGGAUGUUAACAUGAUCCAAAUGCAUCAAGUGGAAAGGGGAAUAUGAAACUCAAAGAAAAUCAAACCCAACAGAAAAAAAAAAAAACCAAAAGGCUAUUGCAAGCAAUUACUAAAGGCAGAAGGACUAAAGAUGAUAGUCUUAAAAUAGAAAGGCAGGUGCUUGUCUGGGAUUCUUCUAUGUUAAUGUUGAAGGAAAUGGGCUUAGAUCUCAGACCAAGAAUUUCCUUCUCCCACUGGGUAUCUUUUUUAGUUCUUCGGCUGUUCCUCUUUUCUGUCCCUGCCCUUCCUGAAAAUGAACUUCAGUCUUUACUGUUUUAGCAUCAAGGAAAAUAUGUUAGUAAACACAGCACCUGCGGGUGGAAUCAAAUAUAACUUUACAGGGCAGCUGUUGGUACAGACAGACUCCAGAGUCAAGGGUCCUGAAGUUGUUCGUCUACCUCUGUGCUCUAGAGAAGCUUCCAAAAUUUUUCGCUGUAAAAGAAUUGAGAGACCAAGUCAUCCCACCCCACUCAUUUUACACAUAAGGAUAUUUGGGAAGAGCUUUAUUAAUGUUUCUUUUAUUCUACAAAAGUUGUUAUGAAUGAGAUAUACUUUGCAGGUGGAUUUUAAAUUAAUGAAAGCCUUUAUUGUCAGCCUCUUCAUUAUGUUAGCACAAUGAAGAUGCAUAAUGAGUUAGGUGCAUCAAAGGGGAUACACUGCCACACAAGCCUCUUACUGCACUAAACACUUUGGAUACGUGUUGGUUCUCUUUCUAGAUGGCAGUAUAUCCCGAUACGUGUUGGUUCUCUUUCUAGAUGGCAGUAUAUCUAUCUAUCCAUCUAUCUGUCUUUCUUAAAACCUGUAAAAUAACCUAAUGUUAAAUAUUGUUAAUAGGUGUUUUUCCAUUCUGAUCAAGCAUGUCAUAACUGCUCCUGGACGGAUAAAUAAACCUCUUAAAGAUUUCAGAAUUUAUUAUUUCGUGAUCAUAGAAUGGGAAGGUGGGGUGCUAAGCUUUGAUACAUGUGUAUGAGGCUCACUUCUGAGUCAACUAAAGUGCUACUGUUGCAAGGAAAGAUAUUUGACACAAUUUUUGUGGGACUCCUUUGGGGAGCUAAUAACACAAAGUCCUUGUCCGCAUGAGCAGAUGAAAAGUCAGUCAACGUACUGCUUUAGCAUUGCCAAGAUAGAGCUCCUGCAAAAAUGUCUCUUUUAUAAUGUGGACCCCAUGAUCAAAAUCAAUGCUGAGGAACAAACAGUACAAAUACGCUAACCACCAAAUUCUAGGUGUCUAGUAUGAGUCAAAAGUUUAACAAAUCAGCAUUCUUUGGGGCCUCUGCCUACUUAAUCGGAAUAAAUACUAUCAUGUAUCAUCUCAACAAGAGCCUCCCUCAGAAUCCUUUCUAUCUCCUGGAUGUAUAAGUGUAAAUCGGGUGCCUUGCAUCGCUGUGCUCAGGGUCCCUCUGUGAUCUGAUGGUAAUGAUUCUCCAAAUUUGCAUCAAGACCAUCUCCACCUACUGAGCACAGAGCAAGUGCCAAGUGCCACGCUGACCAAUCAACUCGUUGUUGCUCUGCCUGGGUUUUUCCUCCAUAGCUAGAUCUUCAGGGGUCAGCUCCUCGGGGAGGGGGGUCUCCAGCCCAGGAGACACCAAAAGGGAAGGUGAUGUUACUGCACUGAGGACCUGAGGCAGAGUUUCAGCUAUUCAUCAUGUGUGCUGUGCAAAAUGGAGGAAAAAUAGAAAAGUUGUUUGUUAUUGUUACGAUUUUGAUUACUUAGACUAAAUUAAAAUUAUUACCUCUGCCUAAGGCCAUUUCCCAGGCAUUUUCUCUCAUUAUUCUAACAAAGGAAAUGGAUUUCUUAUGAAUAAGAUUUACUGUUCUAAUAUUCUCC
rnacentral:lncRNA from 1 species